rnacentral:lncRNA from 1 species
CUUGCUGAGCAAUAUUUCUAAUAAAUCGCCUUUUUCAAAAAAAAUAAAAAAAAAUAAGUGAUUUUUGGGUGGUGCUCCUUCGUUGUAAUUAAAGUAAAUCAUUUUCGAAUGUGGGGUGGUCCUUUGUUGCCGACAAGAAUUAGAAUUGAAUGGAAUAUCACACCUUCCAUUUGUGCUUGAUUCAACGAUCUAAAAAGUGACCGGAUCACGAAUGGGGUUGUGGUUCAUUGGUAAAUACAAAGCCUUUAAACACCUUGGGAUUGCCGUUCAAAAAAAAGUGACCGGAUCGGACGUGUACUUUUUCAGGAACACAAGUGAGUGGCGUUUCAAUUAUUCAAGAUAGGUUGAAGAUGAAUACAAAUAUGAAAUCGUAAAGUUACAAGACAUUCACAUUCAGUACUCAUUGUUAUCUCUCUGGAAUAUAUUCGGGUGGAAGCUCCUUAACUUAAACUUAGGUGCUACCGUAGCAGCAGGAGCAGCUACUUCAUUUGAAUCAGAAAUCAGAUUUUCAUCUAACGGCCUUACAGCUCCAAUAGACGGUGGUUGAGAAGAAGCAUAAUGGUAAUGAUCGCCUGCACCGGAAACUUGUGAAUUCUCUAACGGCCUCACAGAUCCAGUAGACAGUGGUUGAGCAGAAGCAUCGUACUCGCCGCCGAUGCCGGAGACUUGAGAAGUAUUUAACGGUCUCACAUCCCGAGUUGACAGUGGUACUUCAUCAUCAUCUGCAUGGUCAUCGAUGCCACCGGAAAUCUGAGAAAUUUCCAAGGGUCUCACAGCUGUCAAAGACGGUGGGUUCGUCAUUACUUAUGCUCCCGUCAGACGGUUGUUGAUCGGGAUUCAUUUUCUUGUUGGGUUGGGUCUUGAAAUUUUAAAUAGGGGUCGUGAUUUAUUUAUAUGAAAAUGAAGCAUCAUUUUAUGUACACAUGUAUUUGAAGCUUUAAAUAAAUAAUAAUAUCUCAAAAAAGAUGAUUGAUUC